GUUUCUUUUUUUUUAAUACCCUCUCAUAUGUUUUUGCAUAUCCUAAAUUAGCAUGCAUCUUUCUGUUUAUUGAACAUAUAUUGAGCAAUUUCUAAACCAACAAACCUUGUACUAGAGGAUAUCUCCUACAUAAAGUUAAAAAAGAAAACUGUUAACCUUACACUUUGUCAUACCUACCUGAAUUAAUAUCAGAACAGUGGUGCUAUUUCCAGUUCAAACAUAUCAUAUUGAAGAAUUCAAAUAAAAUGUUCCUCUUAAUGUUUAGAAACACAAUAACAUCUAGGUAAACAAAAAGCAAUAUUGACAGAAUCAAAGAAUCUAAAGGUCAAAAGUCUGUAAUUUGCUAAAAUUGUCUUACUAAACCUUAAAGUUGGAUAUGUGUCCGACGUAAAAUUGACAUGGAACAAAGCUAUUUAUCCACAGUGCUCUUUAGAAUAAUUAAAACAGUCAAAAAAUAAAAUGUCCAACAAUAAGACAUCAGAUAAGUUACCAUAUACCAAAAAGAUAAAAUUAUUAUAUAUACAGCAAUUAAAAUAAUGCCAUUAAGAAUGUUUUGAAAAAUAUGAUAAAAUGUUAUUAGGGAAAGAAAACCAGAAUAUUAGAUUGGAUAUACGGCAUUUUUUCCUUAUUUAAUACUUCUUAAUUUCUAAAUUUUCUAUAAAAAAUCUUAGAAAAAAAUAAUUUAGGGCUUUGUUUUAAAAAACAAAGUGAAGCAACUGCUAGACAUGGCAAAAAAAAUAGUGCAUAUUCCUUAUUCCUUAUUACUACCUGGUUAUGACCUCUUCUGUUUCCUAGGAAUAAGGUUCUAUUCGUACUUCUAGAAUAGCUUCUCCUCUCUGUAACAUUCUGUUAAGAUGUGUCCAGCUCUCCUAAAGCCACAGAAUCCCAGAGACUCAAAGUAAAUUUUCUCUUCGGUAAAUCAGAAGGCUCUGCAUAAAUGUUAAAGUCAAGUUUCUCCUGCUUUGGGCACCUUCAAAUAGAAGACGUUUCUGCUUCUCUUGCUUCUGAGAACCCACGAAAUCAACACAUCCCCAAAAGACGCCUUGAGGAACGGAAAGUGUCCUGCACCCCCAACCCUCCCGCACUAAGAGCGGCGGAGGAUCCCACCGCUUCGCACUUCCCUGGAGGGACUCCUGGAUUAGGAGGUGCCUUCUGGUCUGGAAGAGUAUUCCCUCGGCUGGGCGCACGCAGUCCAUCCCCAAUGCUCCAACUUGAAAACUUGGAGUUGGCCACGACUACCCCAUUCCAAUCUCACCCCACGGCGCUUUCUCCCCUCUUGGUGCUGAGAGCUUUUGAGACCACCUGCCCUGAGGUCCCUACGUCCGAGGGACCCCGGCAAGGACCUGUCCCGCUGAGCCCGCCUGACUUACGCGGCGCAGUCGGUGCUUCUCCCUGAGCCGCGGUGAGCACGGACCCCAGCCGGUUGUCCUGACAGCUCUUCCCAAGUCUGGCAGACACGAGACAGCCCCACCUAGUUACGAGGAGCCUGCCGAACUCGAGCCUUUUAAGUGCUCCUGUAGGAUCACAUGACCCAGACCUACAGGGCGAGAGCUACGUGGUUUCCCUACCUCCUGGUCCCAGAAGUCAGCGCACCAAGUCAGCCGCACCUGUCAGCGCUUGGUGCGCACCUGGCCCCACCAAGUCAGCGCUCCCCGUGCUGGAAGAAGCGAGCAGCCCAGGGUGGACUCCCAGGGUGGAAUCUUACAAAUUAAUGAAGCUCAUCAGCUGCGGUGCAGUUCAGGUUGUUUUGUCCCUUUGUUUUGUUUUGGUUUUCUCUCCCACUUUUUAAGAGUUGCUUUCUUAGAAUUUCAGCCCUGUAUUUUGAAAUUAUUUCUGCACUCUAGGACUUACUUGCAAGCCCGGAAUUUCAAUUUGGAAAGCUAGUGGUGUUUGACUCCCACUGUUAAAAAAGGCAACACACGUUCAUUGGUGGUCUACAUUCCAGCUGCACUAGCAACAAGCGUGCACCAAGUGCCAAGCACUCUCUCUCCUGCAUCGCUGUGUUGGGGUCUCAGAGCCACCUGAUGUGUUCUGUUCCAUUAUACCCAUUUUGCAAGUGGGGAACACAAACUAAGUGAGGUUAGGUAACACAUCCAGGGUCACAUUGCUUGUAAGCGACCUGAAUGCCUAUUAUUAACCAUCGCCAAGUGCCGGGCAUUGAGCCAGACAGUAUGGGAGCAAAAACUAAAAAACGCAAGGAGGUUGCAAUGACCAGUAGCUAACACAAAAUAAAGGAAGGUCGUCAUUACCA
rnacentral:lncRNA from 13 species